UGGCGGACGGGUGAGUAAUGUCUGGGAAACGUGCCUGAUGGAGGGGGAUAACUACUGGAAACGGUAGCUAUACCGCAUAACGUCGCAAGACCAAAGAGGGGGACCUUCGGGCCUCUUGCCAUCGGAUGUGCCCAGAUGGGAUUAGCUAGUAGGUGGGGUAACGGCUCACCUAGGCGACGAUCCCUAGCUGGUCUGAGAGGAUGACCAGCCACACUGGAACUGAGACACGGUCCAG
rnacentral:rRNA from 1 species